rnacentral:rRNA from 1 species
GACGAACGCUGGCGGCGUGCUUAACACAUGCAAGUCGAACGAUGAAGCCCAGCUUGCUGGGUGGAUUAGUGGCGAACGGGUGAGUAACACGUGAGUAACCUGCCCUGGACUCUGGGAUAACCCCGAGAAAUCGGAGCUAAUACCGGAUAGGACCUUUCCUCGCAUGAGGUUUGGUGGAAAGUUUUUCGGUUUGGGAUGGACUCGCGGCCUAUCAGCUUGUUGGUGAGGUAAUGGCUCACCAAGGCGUCGACGGGUAGCCGGCCUGAGAGGGUGACCGGCCACACUGGGACUGAGACACGGCCCAGACUCCUACGGGAGGCAGCAGUGGGGAAUAUUGCACAAUGGGCGCAAGCCUGAUGCAGCAACGCCGCGUGCGGGAUGACGGCCUUCGGGUUGUAAACCGCUUUUAGUAGGGAAGAAGCCUUCGGGUGACGGUACCUGCAGAAAAAGGACCGGCUAACUACGUGCCAGCAGCCGCCGCAGUAA